rnacentral:rRNA from 1 species
AGCGAACGCUAGCGGCGGGCCUAACACAUGCAAGUCGAGCGGGGAGCUUCGGGCUCCCAGCGGCGAACGGGUGAGUAACACGUAGGUAAUGUGCCCUCAGGUGGGGAAUAACCGUGGGAAACCAUGGCUAAUACCGCAUACGGUCCUUCGGGAUCAAAGCCUUCGGGCGCCAGAGGAGCAGCCUGCGUCCCAUUAUUUAGUCCUAGUUGGUGAGGUAACGGCUCACCAAGGGUACGAUGGGUAGCUGGUCUGAGAGGAUGAUCAGCCACACUGGGACUGAGACACGGCCCAGACUCCUACGGGAGGCAGCAGUGGGGAAUAUUGCGCAAUGGGCGAAAGCCUGACGCAGCCACGCCGCGUGAGUGAUGAAGGCCUUCGGGUUGUAAAGCUCUGUCGGGAGGGACGAAGGGGCAACCCCUGACGGUACCUCGCAAGAAAGCACCGGCUAACUCUGUGCCAGCAGCCGCGGUAA